ACGGUUAAUGUUAUCAAAAAAGUUACCAAAAUAAUCGAUGUAGAAUUAAAUUAUCUAUCAGGUUUCCGAUUUAGAAUUUAAUCGAAAUUAAUAGUUCCAUGCAUAGUGCGAGUACAAUUCUAUUCAUGUUCUCACCUGCCACACUGAAAGUGUCAGUGUUUACAAACAAACAUGUUUCUUAUCUCGUGUAAUUUUUGUGGGAUCGCCACGCGGUUGGCUUCUGUGCCACGUUAGUCUCAUUUUUGUCGUCAGGUGAUCUGCACGCACAUUGUCUUCAUUAUUCUUGAGUUGCUAAAUGCUUCUAGAAUUGUGCGCGAUUGAUGUGCGGGGUUCGUACCACGCGGAUUGUGCAUACUCAGAGCGGGCGAACGCGAUGUCAUAGAGCAACAAUUUUUGCACUAAAUUUGGGCGAACGCGAUGUCGUAGGGCAACCAUUUUUGUACUAAAUUCAGGCGAACGCGAUGUCGUAGUGCAACCAUUUUUGCACUAAAUUCGGGAGAACGCGAUGUCGUAGGGCAACCAUUUGUACACUAAAUUCGGGUGAACGUGAUGUCAUAGGGCAACAAUUUUUGCACUAAAUUCGGGUGAACGCGAUGUGAUAGGGCAACCAUUUUUACACUAAAUUGUAGGUAUUAAAAGUCUUUUUAAUUUCCAUAUAUAACUUGUGGUUUUUUUUAUAAAUUGUAAAUAGGGUCUAAACAUUUCAUAUUAUCAAAAAAAGUUAUCAAAAUAAUCGAUGUAGAAUUAAAUUAUCUAUCAGGUUUUCGGUUUAAAAUUUAAUCGAAAUUAAGAGUUCCAUGCAUAGUACGAGUACAAUUUUAUUCAUGUUCUGCACUACCACACUGAAAGUAUCAGUGUUUACAAACAAACAUGUUUUCUUAUCUUGUGCAAUUUUUGUGCGAUCGCCACGCGGUUGACUUGUGUACCACGUUAGUCUCAUUUUUGUGGUCAGGUGGUCUGCCCGCACAUUUUCUUCAUUAUUCUUGAGUUGUUAAAUGCUUCUUUAAUUGUGCGCGAUUGAUGUGCGGGGUUCGUACCACGCGGAUGGCCGUCGUAUUCUUUUUGUAUUAUACGCGUAUUUCAUCGGUUCUACAAUGUGCCUAAUUACGGUCCAUACAACUUAUUGGAUAUACCAAAAUGCAAAAAUUAUUUUGCAUCAAGGUAUGUUCUCGUAUUUCUUCAGCCAUUUGAAAAACAAAUCCAUUAUUGACUUUUUUGAUUUGUGCUUUAAUUUUUAAAUUUUGUUUUUUGAUUCCGAAAGUAAAUUAAAUUCUGAAUGCAGUAACACAAUUAUAGAUUAAAGCCCUAUUCACAUAUAAAAAUCAAUUUUUGUAUUAAAAAUUCAAAUUGUACCAAACUAAUUGACAUUGAUUUACCAAUAAAUGUAUUUCGGAAUGCCGAAUAUUCAUCGCAGAAGAGUUGCAAAUGUGCGCAUAUUUUAAGGCAAGUGUUCCGCGGAAUUUAAUAGUUGUCGAUAUUUUUCUAUAUAAAAAAUGUUUGUAUUUGUAAAUGUUGUCAAUAAAAUAAAAUUAAUAUCAA